rnacentral:rRNA from 1 species
UCGCGGCGGUGCGCGCAGAAGGGUCUGGGCUCGAGCCUGCCUGGAGCCGCCGCCGGUGCAGAUCUUGGUGGUAGUAGCAAAUACUCCAGCGAGGCCCUGGAGGACUGACGUGGAGAAGGGUUUCGUGUGAACAGCCGUUGCACACGAGUCAGUCGACCCUAAGCUCUAGGAGAAAUCCGAUGUAAACGGCGUUGGGAAAAAUUGUAUUAUUUAAAGAAAAAAGCCCACUGAUCGGGCGAAAGGGAAUCCGGUUCCUAUUCCGGAACCCGGCAGCGGAACCGUUGUUUGUCGGGCCCUCACAAGGGGUUCGUCAGGGCAACCUAAAAGGGCCCGGAGACGCCGUCGGGGGCCCCGGAAAGAGUUUUCUUUUCUGCAUGAGCGUUCGAGUUCCCUGGAAUCCUCUCGCAGGGAGAUAGGGUUUGGAACGCGAAGAGCACCGCAGUUGCGGCGGUGCCCGGGAAUCCCCGACGGACCUUGAAAAUCCGGGAGAGGGCCACGUGGAGGUGUCGCGCCGGCUCGUACCCAUAUCCGCAGCAGGUCUCCAAGGUGAAGAGCCUCUAGUC